AUUCAAGAUGGCGGAUCGGUCUCGUUUCAUGCGGUGCUAUAAGACGAUGGACUGGAAGUGCAGGGUGUGCAGAAUAUUCUCAUUCCCAAGUCCACCUCCUCAGACACUACAGAGUGAAACAAAGACACUGCUCUAAAAAAAUCCACUACCUUCUUAAUGGUUCUGAAGUUCAGAUUGAGGAUGCUCCAGUGGCCCUACCUACUGUUGUCCAUGACAACACUACUGCUCCAAUGCAUUACGACAAAGCAAAUAUGUCAGUUGUUCUGGACAAAUCAAGGUUGGCCUGCCAACCUUAAAGAGAGGGUUGAUGUAAAGCGUAAUUCUCACUACAGUAGCACACACUAACAAUGUUACUCUGCUUAAAGCUCCCAUUCUUUCUGUGUUUUUGAAGCUUUGAUUGUGUUUAUAGUGGGCAAUAUAACAUGUGUUCAUGUUUAACAUGUAAAAAAAAUGCGGUAUUUUUCACACAAUUGACUUAUCUGUAUAGCGUUGUUUUCACUGUCCUCAAAACAGGCUGAUGUCUUCUUUGUUCUAUGAAGUCCCUCCUUCAGAAAUAUGUAUUGAGUUCUGAUUGUGUAGUUUGUUUAGUGUGUUCUGAUUCGAUAGCAGCUUAGCUUAGCAGAGCCGUUUGAGCCAAAGCUGGUGACUGACGUAUUCAUGUGGGUGGAGUUUAGUCAAAAAACUGUUUUACUGACGUCAUUAAAGCAGGAAGUAGAGGGCUGUAGUUCAAACCGGCCGUUCAUUGUAGGCUUUGAAAGAGGAAUUCUAUUAAAGAAGAUAUAUCGCCUGGCAGUGAACUUUGAGCUUUAUCAUUUUACAGGUAUUAUUUAUGCUAUUAUAGCAACAUUACGCACUAACUAGGGUUUCAAAAAUGGGAUCAGGAAGAACGUGACCUUUAAUAAUUUGUUACAUAGGCUGCUUUUUAUUUUUUGCAAACCUGAUAUUUUUGCCAUGCAGUUGUUAAAGUAAUUGAAAUACCUCAAAUCUUUUUGUUUUGCUGUACAUUGUUGUUUUUUAGGCUUUCCUUGUUCAUUCAACAGUACAUUACUCAUUGAAGAUCUUAAAACUUGUGGUCUUUUUAAGGUUACUUUACUGAUGUUAUUUUGAUUUGUUUGUUAAAUCAGUGUAAACUCAGAAGACACAAGUUAUUGCUUAAAAACACAUGUUCUUAUUGGCUUCUAGGCAUGUCUUGUUCAUUCCAGAAUGUAUUGAACAUUGUAAAACAGUUUCUUGAAUUUUGCCCCUCUUUAAAGGGUUUCUGUACUGACGUAGAGUCAGUUUGCUAGUUUGCACCCUUUAAAAGCAUUACUGUACUUAUGUAGAAUCUAAACAGACUUUACUUUUUUAGAUUGUAUCACAUUUGUAAUUUUAGUGAAGAUAUGUUUAUAUAAACUGUAUUAUGUUUUAAUGUACUGUAAAUGUAAA